rnacentral:ncRNA from 14 species
UUCUUAUCGAGAGAGGUGGAGGGACUGGCCCAAUGAAACCCGGCAACCGCAAGUUCGCUUGAAGGUGCUAAAUCCUGCAAAGCAUAUGGGCUUUGGGAGAUGAGAG